UUUUCGCUCUAAUCGUGUUUGGAAUCUGUGCCAGUUUGCAAGGUUCAACUUUACGAGACAGUUCCGCAGUUGAAAAUUCCAAGAGCGAUUUUAAAAGAGCUGGGGGUGUAAAGUUGACAAAAUAUGCAUUGAGAAAGUUAGCAAGGAGUUUAAGACGCAGUGAUUCACUGGCAAGAUAUGCUGUGAAUCGGUUACAAUAUUGGUCUGGUGGACGUAUCAGCGCUAGCAAAAUUAUUCAAGUCAUAGAUGGUGUAGCAGCUAGACUGAAUCGGUAUCAAACUGCAACCUGUGGAUUUUUCGCAGAUGUAGGAGUCUCCCUUGGUAUUAAUCGUAGUAUUGCAUAUCAAAUCUGCAACGUUGCUAUCGAUUUACUCGGAUUAAUUCUGUAAAAGCCCAUUAUAGAAAUGAAUAACCAAGCAUCCUGAC